rnacentral:rRNA from 1 species
GACGAACGCUGGCGGCGUGCCUAAUACAUGCAAGUCGAACGAAGCUGUUUUAACUGGUGCUUGCACCGACUUAAACAACUGAGUGGCGAACGGGUGAGUAACACGUGGGUAACCUGCCCCAAAGCGGGGGAUAACAUUUGGAAACAGAUGCUAAUACCGCAUAACCACAGAAACCACAUGGUUUCUGUGUCAAAGAUGGUUUCGGCUAUCACUUUGGGAUGGACCCGCGGCGGAUUAGCGAAUUGGUAAGGUAAUGGCUUACCAAGGCAAUGAUAGGUAGCCGAACUGAGAGGUUGAUCGGCCACAUUGGGACUGAGACACGGCCCAAACUCCUACGGGAGGCAGCAGUAGGGAAUCUUCCACAAUGGACGAAAGUCUGAUGGAGCAACGCCGCGUGAGUGAAGAAGGUUUUCGGAUCGUAAAACUCUGUUGUCAGAGAAGAACGUGUGCGAGAGUAACUGCUCGUGCAGUGACGGUAUCUGGCCAGAAAGCCACGGCUAACUACGUGCCAGCCGCCGCGGUAA